rnacentral:lncRNA from 1 species
ACUGGAAGUCACUUAAUAUGAUUUAUACUUCUUUAUUCACAAAAGGCCAGAAUAAACUAUAUAUAUGCAGUUCAGUGCUCUGCCCAAAUUUCUCUAUAUUUGGAGCAUUGUAGGCUUACUUUCUCUUGAAGCAAAAGAAGGUGGUAUGUUGAUUUUCAUUGUGAUAAAAUGCCAAAGGAAAACCAAGGAGGGACUUUGGUUCAUAGUUUCUAAAGUUCCAGUGGAAGUUCAGCUGGAUCUAUUAGUUGGUCUUGAGGUGAAUCAAAAUAUGUCUGCGGAUAUGGCAAAAGCUGUUCACCUUUGGCAACCAAGCUGCAGAAAGACAGGAGGAGGCCAGGGAUAAGAGGAGCCUUUCUAGAGCAACUUUGCCUGUCUCUACCUCCCAGUGAUAACAUCAUGUGACCCAUUAAGGUAUUAGUCCACUUAGGAAGUAAAUACCCUGACAAUCUCAUCACUUCCCUGUGACCAGACAAGCCUUCAACACAUGACCCAUUUGGGCAGACACUUCAUAUCCAUACCACAACAAAUGACUAAUAGUAAUCUCAAAUGACUUCCAUGACAACGAAAUAAAUAUAUAUUUGACUCCAUCAAACCAAAGAAGACAAAUGAUAAUGCAAGUUUACUGUGUCUGAGACAGUAAGGCCUAAUUAUCUUGACUCAUAGACACAUUUUUUUAAUAUUUUUUAUUAGAUAUUUUCUUUAUAUACAUUUCAAAUGCUAUCCCGAAAGUUCCCUAUACCCUCCCCCCAGCCCUGCUCCCCUACAAGAAGCUCACUCCAGCUUCUUGGCCCUGGUGUUCCCCUGUACUGAGGCAUAUAAAGUUUGCAAGAGCAAGGGGCCUCUCUUCCCAGUGAUGGCCGACUAGGCCAUCUUCUGCUACAUAUGCAGCUAGAGACACGAGCUGUGGGGGUACUGGUUAGUUCAUAUUGUUGUAUGGACACAUUUCUAAUCUGAGGAAGAGUUCUAUGAACUUUAGCUUACUUUGCCUGGCUGGAGUACAAGGAAAGGGAUGCUAUGUAUAUAUACCUGUAUUAAUAGAGCUAAAACUUGGAGGAGUAUUCCUGAGUUAUUUAAAGUCAAGUCUUGAACAGUACAGUAUGUUUAAAAAAAUUGUCGACAUUCUCCAAAAGGAAAAUGAAAUGGCCAUUCCACCUAGGUAAGCCAUAACUAUUUGUUAUUGGGGUGGGGACCCACUGGAAGGAUUUUAUGCAAAUAAAACCUCCACUGGAGCCAGAGCUUUGAAACUUUUCUACUAGUUAUUAGCUAGAUAUCCCAGUUUUAUCAUGUAAAAUGAGGAAAUUCAUAGUACUUGUCUUCAUUUAACCCUAUAUUCUGAGUUUUUAGAAUACUGCCUAUAAAAUAACGGGCACUAAGUAAAUGUUUAAUCAAUACAUGAAUUCUGGUUGUAACUGUUAUAUUGCUCUGCCUAGUCUCAUGUGUAAAGGGGUUAAUAGAGGGAUGUUAUGUGGCUAUUUGAAAGAAAACGUCCAUACUCAACAUCUUGGGUUUUUUUCCAUAUAUUUUAUAUUUGAUACUUAUUGAAAUUCAUAAAUAAAAAAUAACACUUG